AUAAAGAUUCAAACUUUUUUGUUUUUAAAAUUCGAAAAAGCUCUUAUCCAUCCUAUGAAAAAAUUCGAAAAAAUUAAUUUAAGAUUACAUAAUUUGUUUCACGACAGUGGGAAUAUCCGCUGUUGACGAAGACGUGGAAAAAAUAUUGGAAAACCGCGUGCUUCAUCUACGUCCUUCAAAUAUGAAUGGAAUUGACAAAAUCGAAACUUUGAAUGAAUAUUUCCAUAAAAUUGUUAUGGCUGAAAAAAGCGGAAGUACGACCCCAUCCAGGUUCUUAGCCAAAAAAAAUUGAACAGAAGAAAUUAAUCGGCCAAGGAAACAAAGACGCCACGACACGAUACUACGAUUAUUUCUAAGAAAAUAUUACUAAAUUCUGAUUUUUAUUCACAAUAACAAAUUAAAAUACGUUUUGGUGUUUAUACGCCGCCCGAUUCCUAGUGUAUUUUAAAUGGUAUUUUUAAUGGACACAGUGAUUGCUGUUUUCCAAAUGCGUUAUGAUUUUUUUUUCCAGUCACCUAUUUAACAAUUCUAUGUAGUACAAUUCGAUGUACGCUCUAAAGGUGAGAGGUGCUAUGUGUUACGUGCAUCGUAUGCUAUUGUGAAAUAUUGAAGCCGACUAAGAAGACUUCGCUCUCCUAUAUUGUCUAUAACCGUCCCGGAAAGGAAUGACAGCGACUUCCUACUUCAAACGAUUUAAAUAGAUACGCAUUCUUUUAACUGUGACCUUUUAAAAUGGUGGUAAAUCAAUUCAGUUUCGACAGGUUAUUUUAAACUAGCGCAUCGGAUUAAUAUAAUUAUUAUUUAUAAAAUCAAUUCUUAAAAUUUCUUCUCUUAAAUUUCUUUCAAUUUUAUGUUGAUAUAGGGCGCUUUUUAAUUUAGUUUUAUUCAAAAUGUAUCUAAGUAGUGUGUACAGAUAUAAUAUAUAAAGACAAAACAAUUCCUUAUUCGUCAAUAGAUUUUCUUUUUCUUUCUUUGAUUAGUGACUGUUGAUGGGCUUUUCUGCUUUCACUUUUUUAUGUAGUACCUAUGUAUUUAUUUAGUACCUACACAUGUUUUUUUUUCUUCUUAAAAUGACAACAACAAAGUAGGGAAUAAUAAAUUAAUACAUAAAAUGUAUCCAAAUCCUAAGGCGUCAGUGAUUAUUAUAUGAUUGAAUUAUUGGGCGAACACUAGUAUAUAUUUUUAUACGUCUUUUAAUAAUGUUUAAAUUAUAUCAGCUCAAUCCAUCUUUUCUUUAAAAGUGGAUCCUCAAAUAUGCAAAAAUGUUGAUGAUAUAGAAACAUGUAAGUACAAUGAUUUAGACAUUCGUAUGAGUUGCGAGAAAACUCAAUCACGAUCUAUUACGUUCGAAACCGGCGUAAGAAACGAGUUCAUCAUUACGAACGCGGAAGCGAUGAGAACCUCUUCUGAAUUUCAAAUGAAUAGACAUAAUCCAUAUUUCAGUGGAGAAGGCAGCCGGAGACCGCAGUGAAUCGGGGAUUAUGAGUUUUGCCGAAACUCAGCAGCCUCAUGAAAAACUACGUUGAACAGAUUGCGUUCAUAUUUACAAUUGCACCUAAAAAUGUGUGAUUUUAGUGAUAAAAAGUGAUAAUAAUAACUAAUAAUGUACGAUUCCAACGUUUUUUUUUUUCUUAGUUAUGGUUUAAUUUUUAAAAAAUCAUAAUUGACAAUUCGAAAGAGUUUUUAAAUUUUAAAAACAAACUUUGAAUUUUGCGUUAAUGAUCUCAAAUAUAUAAAGUGUAUAAUCUAUGGUUAAUGAUGAUUGCAUCCAUGACGUAAGUCCGCUAAGCUAAUAGAACGUUUUAUACGCUUCUGUAUACAACAACAUUACUGUGUACAUGAAUUUAUUUAAAUGUUAUUCCCCAUUCGAGUUCGUGAAUGACAUCAUGUUUCACUUCGCUUUUUUGUGUUCAUGAUGAUUUUAUUGUUUAAGUUUAAGUUUUUUAUUAGUCGAUCUUGCCAAAUUUAAUAAUACUUCAUGAAAAUAUUUAAUUGCAAAAUCAUGUAAUGUUAUUUUUUUAACAAAUAAAAAAAUAUAUAUUAUCAUAUUAUUCGUUAACGUAAUUAGGCGACCGAUGUUAACAUAACAAGAUCCUGAUUAUUUCUCUAAAAGCAACAGCAAAAACGAGCCGACACGAAGUAAUUCUAUUUAUUUUAAUAGAUCUGCGGUGUGGCAGGUGAGCACACUCAAUUAUAUUUCGAUCAGGACAUCGCCGCCGGCGCGUGCUGCAGCCCUAAAUGGAUUAUUGGUCGUGGACGGCGACGUAAGGGGAGGGCGACAACCAGAGCUGGAGGCAGAGAUGGAUCUAAAACCCCUCAAAGAGUUUUCGUUUACGUAAUGUUAAGCAUGACUUUUUUAUUUAUUUAAGUUGUAAUUUGUGAUAGAAAUACAGAACUACACAUAUUAUAUUGUAUUAUAGUGUACUUUAUUGUAUAUUUUUUAAAUUAUAAUGUAAGAUUCA